rnacentral:rRNA from 1 species
UACAUGGGGUGCAAACGUUGCUCGGAAUUACUGGGCGUAAAGCGUGCGCAGGCGGUUUUGUAAGUCAGAUGUGAAAUCCCCGGGCUUAACCUGGGAAUGGCCUUUGUGACUGCACGGCUAGAGUGUGUCAGAGGGAGGUAGAAUUCCACGUGUAGCAGUGAAAUGCGUAGAUAUCUGGAGGAACACCGGUGGCGAAGGCGGCAUUCUGGACCAAUACUGACGCUGAGGAGCGAAAGCCAGGGGAGCAAACGGG